rnacentral:rRNA from 1 species
UACAGAGGGGGCAAGCGUUGUUCGGAAUUACUGGGCGUAAAGGGCGCGUAGGCGGCCUGUUAAGUCGAACGUGAAAUCCCCGGGCUCAACCCGGGAACUGCGUCCGAUACUGGCAGGCUUGAAUUCGGGAGAGGGAUGCGGAAUUCCAGGUGUAGCGGUGAAAUGCGUAGAUAUCUGGAGGAACACCGGUGGCGAAGGCGGCAUCCUGGACCGAAAUUGACGCUCAGGCACGAAAGCGUGGGGAGCAAACAGG